rnacentral:rRNA from 1 species
AUUGAACGCUGGCGGCAGGCCUAACACAUGCAAGUCGAACGAGUGGCGGACGGGUGAGUAAUGUCUGGGAAACUGCCCGAUGGAGGGGGAUAACUACUGGAAACGGUAGCUAAUACCGCAUACCCUCGGAUGUGCCCAGAUGGGAUUAGCUAGUAGGUGGGGUAAUGGCUCACCUAGGCGCCGACCCCUCGCUGGUCUGAGAGGAUGACCGCCAACACGGGAACGGAGAAACGGUCCAGACUCCAACGGGAGGCAGCAGUGGGAAAUAUUUCACAAUGGGCGCAAGCCGUAUGAAGCCAUGCCGCGUGUAUGAAGAAGGCCUUCGGGUUGUAAAGUACUUUCAGCGGGGAGGCGUUACCCGCAGAAGAAGCACCGGCUAACGCCGUGCCAGCAGCCGCGGUAAUUC